rnacentral:rRNA from 1 species
UACGGAGGGUGCAAGCGUUGCUCGGAAUUAUUGGGCGUAAAGGGUAGGUAGGUGGUCUCAUUUGUCUGUGGUGAAAGCCUUGGGCUUAACUCAAGAAGUGCCGCAGAAACGGUGAGACUGGAGUCCUGGAGAGGGUCGUGGAAUUCCCGGUGUAGCGGUGAAAUGCGUAGAGAUCGGGAGGAACACCAGAGGCGAAGGCGGCGACCUGGACAGGUACUGACACUCAACUACGAAAGCGUGGGGAGCAAACAGG